UACGGAGGGUGCGAGCGUUGUUCGGAAUUAUUGGGCGUAAAGCGCUUGUAGGCGGCACGUCAAGUCGCGUGUGAAAUCCCCCAGGCUUAACCUGGGAAGUGCGCGCGAAACUGGCGAGCUUGAGUGCCGGAGAGGAUAGCGGAACACCCGGUGUAGAGGUGAAAUUCGUAGAUAUCGGGUAGAACACCAGUGGCGAAGGCGGCUAUCUGGACGGACACGUGACGCUGAGACGCGAAAGCGUGGGGAGCAAACAGG
rnacentral:rRNA from 1 species